UUUGCAAAGAUGGGGAACCAUGACCCUCUGUUCUUCCACAGUUGCCCUGACUGCGAGGUUCGGCCCUUCAGCGUGGGCCACAGGAUUGGCAGAGGCAGAGAUGGCUUUCCUAACGUGGUCCAGGGGAGUCCAUAGGGAAUAAUUACACAGGAACCCGCCUCACCACCCAGGUAUCUUCCCGCUGUCCAUGUGACCACACAAGGCGACAUUCUGCCAUGAGAACAUGAUGCUCUGCGAGAACUAGCUGAGCAACACGCAGCUCCGUACUGAGAAAGCUCCUUCCAAACUGUAAGACUACAGUCCAGAAGGAAAUGAAACAUGAAGGUCGGUGCCUCCUGGAAGGAAAGGAACAGCAGUAAGUGAUCUGAGCCCAGCCUCUGCAAGAUUCCGCGGUCAACUCUGCUUUCUUAAGUGACCAGAAAAGGCUUGGGCACGUGAGUCACAGACCCUCACAGACUCUCAUGAAGGAGGGCCGUGGGACUCCUGCGUGUGGGGUGUGUGCACACAGGAAGCCUGAAGUUGCAGAGGAUCAUCAGCGGUCCAGCCAGCCACCUGCCCAGGGAGACUUCAGAGGCUUGACCUGGAAGGAAGGAGCCACCAAUUUCCCACCAUGACGACUGCCAAGCUAUGGGAAUGCUUCAUCGUUCCAUUUACAGGGUCUAAAUAUUAAACUGCCAAAGUUGUAAUUGGGGUUGUUUCUCCAGCCUGAGACAAACGCCUGAAGCUUCUUUUAAUGACUGUGAAAUAUGGCUUGUCAUUAAAUGAUCAGAUGUGAUAAGUCCUAGAAAACCUGAAAGAGGUUAAGCAUGAAAUAACCAUUUUU